rnacentral:antisense_RNA from 1 species
CUUCAACGAGCCGAGCAGCAGCGGCCGGUCCGCCGGGCGGUCCUGUCCGUACGUCGUCAGCACGGCCUGUGCCUC